rnacentral:rRNA from 1 species
GACGUAGGGCGCAAGCGUUGUCCGGAUUUAUUGGGCGUAAAGAGCUCGUAGGCGGCUUGUUGCGUCGUCCGUGAAAACCUGUGGCUCAACUACAGGCUUGCGGUCGAUACGGGCGGGCUGGAGUUCGGUAGGGGAGACUGGAAUUCCUGGUGUAGCGGUGAAAUGCGCAGAUAUCAGGAGGAACACCGGUGGCGAAGGCGGGUCCCUGGGCCGAUACUGACGCUGAGGAGCGAAAGCGUGGGGAGCGAACAGG